UACGGAGGAUCCAAGCGUUAUCCGGAUUUAUUGGGUUUAAAGGGUGCGUAGGCGGCCUAUUAAGUCAGGGGUGAAAGACGGUAGCUUAACUAUCGCAGUGCCUUUGAUACUGAUGGGCUUGAAUACACUAGAGGUAGGCGGAAUGUGACAAGUAGCGGUGAAAUGCAUAGAUAUGCCACAGAACACCAAUUGCGAAGGCAGCUUACUAUGGUGCAAUUGACGCUGAGGCACGAAAGCGUGGGGAUCAAACAGG
rnacentral:rRNA from 1 species